CCAAAGCCGGGUGCUGUGCAGUGGAAAGCGCUGACCCUGUCCCCCUUGCAGAGAGGAGCAGAGCUGGACCCUCACUCCUCUUUCAUCACUCAGGUGCAAGAUUGCAGUUUGUCUGAUAAAAUGGGCAGUAAAAACAAAAGUGCAGUUAGAGAUUAGCCAUGAAACCGAAACUACAGAAGGAACUACAGCUGAUAAAGUAAGCUUUCAGGUAUUUGGUCUCUGCUGCUACAAGAGCUGUCCCAGAGUGGUGUCAAUCUGUCUCAGGGUCAAAUUUGGAUACAUUUUCUGCUCAAGACUGAAAGCA
rnacentral:lncRNA from 1 species